rnacentral:rRNA from 1 species
CCUACGGGAGGCAGCAGUGGGGAAUAUUGCACAAUGGGGGAAACCCUGAUGCAGCAACGCCGCGUGAAGGAAGACGGUUUUCGGAUUGUAAACUUCUAUCAAUAGGGAAGAAAGAAAUGACGGUACCUAAAUAAGAAGACCCGGCUAACGACGUGCCAUCAGCCGCGGUAAUACGUAGGGGGCAAGCGUUAUCCGGAAUUACUGGGUUGAAAGGGAGAGUAGGCGGCAAGGUAAGCGAUAUGUGAAAGCCUUAAGCUUAACUUAAGGAUGGCAUAACGAACUAGCUAGCUAGAGUACAGGAGAGGAAAGCGGAAUGCCUGGUGUAGCGGUGAAAUGCGUAGAUAUUAGGAAGAACACCAGUGGCGAAGGCGGCUUUCUGGACUGCAACUGACGCUGAGGCUCGAAAGCGUGGGGAGCGAACAGGAUUAGAUACCCUUGUAGUC